UCGCUGCUCCUUGGAUGCUGCCUGAACUGCUGUGCUCUUCCAGCACCACUAAUCCAGAUCCUUUACUGAUUUGUCUCUUUUGCACAUGGGUAUAGUAGUGUUUUGGUUGUAUUGUUGGUGUUGAUUUUUUAAAUUUUUGUUGUCAUAUGUAUAUAGAAUAAAGUCUGCUGGUGUUGUAAUUUAUUUUCUGUUUUAAAUGAUUUUGUAAAGAAAGAAAAGUUUAAUAAAAAUAUCUAUUAAAAAUGAUUUAAAAGUAAAAUGAGCUGUGACUUGCUCAUUGCUGAAAAGUCAAGAAACUGGAAAUAUACAAGCAAAGCUUUUAUGAGAGAUGAGCUUUAUGGCUUUAAUUGCUAGAUAAAUUUGGUUUGGAAAAGGUGGGGCCUAUGUGUGCUGAAGGUUGCUUAGCAACACUGUUUUGGAAUAAAAACAAAGAAAUGUGGAUGCUGGAGAUCUGAAAUAAAAAAUAGAAAUUAUUGGAGAAACUCAGCAGGUUUGACAGCAUCUGUCCCCACACAACCUGCCAAACCUGCUGAGCUUUUCUGGAGACUUAUUUAGACAAAUGAAGAUCAUGGUGUUCAGUGACCAACUCUUUCCCACUCUUAGUUUUUCCAAGAGGAAGCCUGAAAGCAGAACAAGCUGCACAGAUUUCUCUGUCUGGGCUGAAGUACUUAGAGUCAUUUAUAAUGGUCAGCAUUUUAAUCUCAUUGACAGAAAUUUUGGAGAACUGUGAGAAAUCAUCCCGUUUUUAUUCUUUGAGGAGUUUUCAGUUUUAUUAAAAAAGUAAUCCUCUGAGUUGUAUUGUUUGUCCUGUGAAUGUUUGUUUGCAAAUAAGAGAGUAUGGUUUAGUUCCGGAAUAUACUUGGUUGUUAAUCAGUUUUGCUGUUGUUUAAAAGAUAAGGUUUGUUUAUAAUUUAGUUUAUUGAAGGAAUCUGUUGAUAGCCUCUUGUUUUGGGUAACAGUAAUACAGGGUAAUGAUUUGACCAUUUUGGAAAUUGAAUCAAAUCAUUGACACGAACUGUGCAGCACGCAGAGUAAUAUCACUGCAUGAUCAAAAUUGAAUGGGAUUUCAAAUUGGUAAUUUGACUGCCAAUCCAUACAUUCCACUUGUCCAAGUUACUAAAAUAAAAAAAAUUCUCCUCUGUGCCUCUAGAUAUUGUGGGGAUAUAAGUUUUGGAAAUCUCUGCCAUUCAUUGAAUGUUCCUGAAUGUACAUUAUUGUCAAGAAAUGAGAGUAACAAAAUGAACAAUUUUUUCCUCUUAUAGUUUAUCCUGGCAGUCCUUGUCCUCUCUGUGAUCCUACCAAGGAACAGCAAGUACAUCAGAUGGAUAGUUUCUGCUGGGUUAGCCCAAGUCAGUGAGUUUUCCUUUGUUCUGAGUAGUCGGGCUCGUAAGUCGGGGAUUGUCUCCCGAGAGGUCUACCUCCUCAUCCUUAGUGUAACUACCUUAAGCCUUCUACUUGCCCCAGUGUUGUGGAGAGCAGCAAUUCUGAAAUGCGUUCCAAAGCCGGAAAAGCGGUUGAGCUCCUAACAGAAGAUGAACCAUGGUGGUUUGCCAGUUACUUCGUUUAUUAGAUUUCACGUGGUGUGAAAUCCUAAUUCUUCACCCUUUCAAUAAGCCAUACUGACAGAUGUACACAACUUAGUUUUCUCUACUAAAUAGUCUGGCUCAGUUAUACUCUACAUUAUCUCCUGAUGCCUUUUCCUUUGACUGAGAACUGAAUUUGGAAGGGGAUUCAUUACUUUUUGAAUCUUAUUACAAAAGCAUUUCAUAUCAAUUUUCUGGCAUUCAGAUGAAUAAAAAUGAUCAUGAAAUGCAUUGACUGUCUUCAAGAUAAGAACUUUCUUUGUAAACAAUGAAGGGAUGAAUUAAGAUGUAGUUUUUGAUCAGAUUGUGAUGAUUUGAGUAUCAGUGGGUGAUGUUUCCAUUGGGAGAUGGCAGUGCUCUGUGCCUCAGAUCAGCUAUAUAUUUCAGACUGGAAAAUGGGAUGAGAAUAAACGUUUUCUUGAUGACUGGCCAAAGGGUCACUUUCCGCACUUUGUUUUUAAAAAAAAAUCUCUAUGACUGGCUUUCACACUAACUAGCUGUGUAAUCACUUUCUGAACUAUGACAUGACCCAGUACAUUUUAGUGUAGGUUUUUUGAAUGCUGCAGUGUUUUGGUAUUCUGUCAUAAAGGGGUAAAUAUUACAGUGAAUAUCACUGUCAAACAACUUUUUGAUUUUAAAAUUCCCAUUCCUGUUUUAAGUAUUUCCAUGGCUUCUCCCAUCCCCGUCUGCAUAAUCUUUUCCGGCUCCAAAACCCUCAUAUACCUCCAAUCAUUGAACUCUGACCUCCUUAAAUGUUCUUGAUUUUAAUUGUUCCACCAUUGGUGGCAGUGACUUCAGCUCCCAGGGCCUUUGCCCAAAUACCUUGGCUGUAUGGGACUGGCAGAGAAAGUCUUGCAGCCUGGUACUUUGGUGAAGCUGGUCAGUGCAUAAAAUUAUAUGUGCGCUGUGAUGCUGCUAGUUGUUCAUCUGAGAGGUUACUUCUAUAGGUACAUACUCUUUUCGAAAUCCUAUCACUUAACAACAGGAACAGAUUCUGGUGUUCGAUUUGUUUGGGACCAGCACCAUACCACGUAAAGAAAUUAUGUAAACAUUCCUGGAAGCCUUCAUUUUAAGGUAGUCCAUUAUAUUGCUGUCACUUCUUCCACGUAGAAAGAUAGGUGUGAGAUUUAGGCUGCUCUCUCUGACACUUCUGAAGGAGUCAUCAUGUGAUUCAAGGGCCCAAAACUCAUUGGUGGACAAGUCAAGUUGUGGACCUGCUUCAAGCUGCAUCUGUUCUCUGUCUAGAAAUUAUAAUGGGGUACUAAAGAAAUAAGACAUUACCCUACUUUAAACACCAUUCUUCAGCAUCAUAAUUCUACUCCCAACAAAUUGCAGUGUUCCUAAUACACUUACUCUUUGAAUCAAAUAUGGAUCUUGUUUUAGCUGGAAUGCACCGCCUGUGAGCAUGCUUAAGGCAAAUUCAAUCAUGACUUUCUAAAGAGAUCUGAAGAGGGAAGAUUUGCAGUGGUUUGGGGGAAAAGGUGGGAGUGGCACCAAAUGGGUGAUUACAGUGAGCCUGUACGGAGUCUUAUCGGGCUGAAUGGUCAUCUCUGUUGUAACCUUCAGUAAUUCCUUUUGGUUUAGUAUUAGCAAGCACUGAGCUAUGCCAUUUCCCACUGACCACCACCAAUUCUUAAUACUGCACUGAAGUUGAAGUUGUUUGCUUGGGACCUCUUUGGUGCUUCUGAUUGGUUGCUGAAGCUUUGACUGAAAUCCUAGUUGCACUGUCUGUUGAAGUUGUGGUGACCACUUGGUCGAACCUUGAGGAAGCUCUGGGCUGUAAAUGUUUGCAUUUUCAUUGUUAAGGUAAAUAAAGUAAUAUAACUUCC